GACGAACGCUGGCGGCGUGCCUAACACAUGCAAGUCGAACGGGGUUAUACGCUGGGCGCCCUUCGGGGCAACCUUGUAUAACCUAGUGGCGGACGGGUGAGUAACGCGUGAGCAACCUGCCUUUCACAGGGGGAUAACACUGGGAAACCAGUGCUAAUACCGCAUGAAAUUAUUAAACUACCUGGUUUGAUAAUCAAAGGAGCAAUCCGGUGAAAGAUGGGCUCGCGUCCGAUUAGCUAGAUGGUAGGGUAAAGGCCUACCAUGGCGACGAUCGGUAGCCGGACUGAGAGGUUGAUCGGCCACAUUGGGACUGAGACACGGCCCAGACUCCUACGGGAGGCAGCAGUGGGGGAUAUUGCACAAUGGGCGCAAGCCUGAUGCAGCAACGCCGCGUGAGGGAAGAAGGUUUUCGGAUUGUAAACCUCUGUCUUUGGUGACGAAGAAGUGACGGUAGCCAAGGAGGAAGCCACGGCUAACUACGUGCCAGCCGCCGCGGUAACAC
rnacentral:rRNA from 1 species